GACGAACGCUGGCGGCGUGCUUAACACAUGCAAGUCGAACGGAAAGGCCCUGCUUUUGUGGGGUGCUCGAGUGGCGAACGGGUGAGUAACACGUGAGUAACCUGCCCUUGACUUUGGGAUAACUUCAGGAAACUGGGGCUAAUACCGGAUAGGAGCUCCUGCUGCAUGGUGGGGGUUGGAAAGUUUCGGCGGUUGGGGAUGGACUCGCGGCUUAUCAGCUUGUUGGUGGGGUAGUGGCUUACCAAGGCUUUGACGGGCAGCCGGCCUGAGAGGGUGACCGGCCACAUUGGGACUGAGAUACGGCCCAGACUCCUACGGGAGGCAGCAGUGGGGAAUAUUGCACAAUGGGCGGAAGCCUGAUGCAGAAACGCCGCGUGCGGGAUGACGGCCUUCGGGUUGUAAACCGCUUUCGCCUGUGACGAAGCGUGAGUGACGGUAAUGGGUAAAGAAGCACCGGCUAACUACGUG
rnacentral:rRNA from 1 species